UGUUGUUUGUGUUUUAGAAAAGCGGUGAAAUUAUGUGUGCAAUGAGGGAUGGAGCUGCUCAUGUUCUUCGCUGCAUGAAAGUCUGGUAUGAUCUUCCUUAUGCAGUUCUUCUGGAUGCUCUCAACAUGAUGGACUGGUUCAUGAGCCGCAUGAAAGCACUCCUAAACACCUCUCAUGCAUAGCAAUCAGCUCCUUCCAUCUAGCAGCUUGCCAAUGGGUGGAGAGGAUUAAACAGAACAACAUUGAGGUAUCUUCCAUUCAGAGUCCAUUGUAGAUUGUUCCUGAACCUCAAUAUCUGGUAACGAUAUCUUAAUGUAAAUGUACCGCCGGAGACAUCAACCGGAUGGAAAAAAUUGUCUAAGCCAAGUUAGCUUGUCUACCCCAAGAAGAACCGGUCAUGACCUUAAAAUUCCUCAACCUGUAUCACUCACUUCUCUCGACGACUUUACCUGCCGCUCUUCAGCAAGACCUUCUUAUUCUUUCAUGCAAGCAGGAGACCAUUUGCUGUGACGCAAAAUAAUGCUGCCUUUCCCUUAUCUCUUUUGGCUUUCGUCCUACUGUUUGUCGAAAUGAAGUGUCACCAGCCGGCCAUCGAGGUUAUUAUCAGAGACGUUUUACUAGAACUUCAGCGACUUGUUCAGGUCAAAGAUGACUAGUUGAAGGUGUGUAUAACAAUGGUCACUUCGGAAAUGGCACCUUACGAUGGCUAUGCCCAAAGCAAUCCGUCUCAUCGUCAACGACUUACCUGGAAGUUGUCCUUUUUCUACUAUUUCUUUGCCUUCUAAACCAUUUAUAAUAAGUUUUGCCUUUAGUAAAGCAAAAUGCCUAGCUUUUUCUAGUCCUAUACCACUUACUUGUUGAGCAUGUGUAAAUUCGGGUCUCAGUGAUAUAUGAUUACCACUCUUAACAAGAAAACUAUAUAUUUCUUUACUCACUACAUCAGAAGUUUCUCCAAGUGUGCGGUCGAAAAUUUUAGUCGAAAUUCCCUUCAUAGAUAAGAGAAAUAAAGCCGUAAUUUCAUCCUAUAAACGUUCAAUUAAUCUAUCAAAAAUCUUAUCUUGUUUAGGGUGGUUAUUAACCUUAUAUGUUAUUUAUAUAAAUUUAAAUACUAUAAAUAAUGGUUCGAAAUUAACUGAAAAAAGCAACAAGACUUCUGUAUAAUUUUACAUAAUUUCGAUGUUACGUCAUGACGUCAUACGUCGAGUAUGACUUGAUAACCACCCGAAUCAGUAAGUAUCGGCUUUGACCUAUUCAUGAACUUAUGUAGCCCACAAUUAUAAAAGCAAAAUCUCCUGUCCUAUUUACAAUAAAUGCUUGAAUUGCCGCUUUA